ACUUGAAUAGCUUAUAUUUAGAGCAUAACACUGAAGAUGUUAUUGAGGUUUAUUAACCUUCGGGUG
rnacentral:tRNA from 1 species